rnacentral:rRNA from 1 species
AUUCCAGCUCCAAUAGCGUAUAUUAAAGUUGUUGCAGUUAAAAAGCUCGUAGUUGGAUUUGUGGCGUACGAUGUGUUCCGGGCACUCGUUGUUUGAGUAACUCGUCGUUGCCAUCCUUGGGUGGAACCUGUGUGGCAUUAGGUUGUCGUGCAGGGGAUGCCCAUCGUUUACUGUGAAAAAAUUAGAGUGUUCAAAGCAGGCUUAUGCCGUUGAAUAUAUUAGCAUGGAAUAAUGAGAUAGGACUUUUUCGCUAUUUUGUUGGUUUGCGCGAAGAGGUAAUGAUUAAUAGGGACAGUUGGGGGUAUUCGUAUUCCAUUGUCAGAGGUGAAAUUCUUGGAUUUUUGGAAGACGAACUACUGCGAAAGCAUUUACCAAGGAUGUUUUC